UUGAUUCUGUAAACGAGAUUCGUUCAAACAAUUAUGUGUUAUUAUUACUUGUAAUUACAUUAGGACUCGGUUUGUCGUGAAACAUUGGCUCUGUGAACGAUCACGUUGAAAUCGGAUAUAUUCCCACGUUCGACUAUUGUGCUCUUCAUCCCACAUGACAAAAUAUAAUAGAAUCUUUAGAAAAACUAGCAUAGGGGAAGCGAACAGUCAUUUAGAUUUUGUAAUCGGAUAUUUCAUGUAUGGUAAUUAAUCGAAUACCGGGCGGGCGCGGUUUAUGGUAUUUUCUUUAUUGGUGAAUUAAGAGAUCUAGUUAAUAACGUGUCGAUGGCAAGUGCGUGAAUGUCGAACACGUCAACUGGACUUAUCUAAUCUCGAUCUGUGAAAUUAAAAUUUUGGUUCAAAGUUGUACGGAGUGUUGUUGUAUUGUUCUGUUACGAAUAGUCACUAUCGGAUUUCCUCGGACACGUCGAUCGAAGCUCGAAUUUCAACUGUAACGUAUCUAACAUUACAGUGCGCGCACUUCGUUAUCAGCGUGAUAAAUCGUAUUUCGCCUUUUGACAACAACACAGCAACCUCGUGGCCAACGUUACAUGUACAGUAAUUGACCCGUGCCGGGCGUGUAUACUAAUAUUGUGAUGUCACGCGCUGUUUACAUUUACCGUACCCACAACGCAAUCCGCCUUGGCUCGAUGUCUUGUAGCACAAACACUCGGAAAACGGUCGCGCACACAUUAUAUAUAUGCUGUGUAAAACUAAAGAUAUUUACACAAAAUUAUAUAAACUCAACGAUGAUGCUGCCACUCAAAUCGGUAAUGUCAAGGAAAAAAGUAAUGCUGAUGAUAAUGAAAAAAAAAAAAUAUUAUGGAACAUCAAAAUCACCCUAACAAGAAUAUAAAGACUAAUUAUAGAUGCUAUAUAAACUGUAAUUAUCCCUCUGUUAAGUACAUAACAGAUUACAUAUUGUUAUGAAUGUGUUAAAGCUUUCAUGGAUUGUCUUGUUGCUUGAAAUCCUUGAGCAUAUAUCCAUGUUUUCAGUUGGUUUCUGACUCAUUGCAGAGUCCAUCUUCAGAGUGAUGAUUGCUAGUCGGUGGCUGCAACUAUACUGGCGGCUUAUCUUGAUAACAGUCUGUUUUUAUAAAAUUGAUAACAUCUGGUUUUUGACUAACGUUGUUUGCCGUAUCAGGGUUUUUGACUAACGUUAUUGACAACAUUUCGAUUUUUGACUAACGUUGUUUACGACAUUCUUGACAUUUCUGUCUUCCUUUCCUACACCGGCAAUUAUUUGUUAUGCUGAUUGUAGCCUCUUCAUAUAUUGAAUUAUUUCGGCGUUGUUGGUUGAAUUCCUUUUUGUCUAGUGUAUGAUAGGUAACCAAGUUUUGUUGAUUUUCCAUCCAUCUUCUCGGUUGAAAUUUUCCGGACAUUUUUCGAUUUCUAAUGCUUCCUUGUACAUCCGUUUUCCAAAAUGAAUUUCUUUGUUUAGUAUUUUUACUUUAUCGAAUUGUAUGUCAUAUCCUCUGUUUUUGGCACGUUCAGCUACUGCAGAUUUUUCUGUUCUUUGGUACUCCACGUCUUUUUCAUGUUCUUUAAUUCUUGUCGCAAUAGCUCUUCCUGUUUGUCCAAUGUAAGAUUUACCACAUGAACACGGUAAUUCAUAUACUUCUGAUGUUUGCAUCUCUGGCAGUUUAUCUUUCAGGUUUCGGAGUAGUGAUCCUGCAACUGUGUUUGGUUUGAAGACGGUUCUUAAGAUGGACUCUGCAAUGAGUCCGAAACGUCAGAAACAAACUGAAAACAUGGAUAUAUCCUCAAGCAUUACAUAUUGUUAUUCUAAAUUGUACUUAAUAUAAUAUUUAUCAAAAAAUAUUCAGAAGGGUUGAGUUUAGAAUUUUUUUAUUAUAUUACAUUAUAAAUCAUUCAGCCAAAAUGCAUAAAAUGUAAAUGUUUUAUUCAUUAAAAAUUUAAUAA